rnacentral:ncRNA from 2 species
UCAGACCCGGACAGAAGUUGAAAAGCCGGGUUGAAAACGCUUCGCCCAAAGAAGAGUAAUCUGAUCUAACUAAAAAGGCCGCUUUGCGGCCUUUUUUCUUUCCUGUGAUGGUUACGCACCGUAAAAUCAACAUCAUCCCUUUUCAGCUGAAUGGAAAAC